rnacentral:rRNA from 1 species
AACGAACGCUGGCGGCAGGCUUAACACAUGCAAGUCGAGCGCCCCGCAAGGGGCGCGGCAGACGGGUGAGUAACGCGUGGGCACGUACCUUUUGGUUCGGAACAACUCCGGGAAACUGGAGCUAAUACCGGAUAAGCCCUAACGGGGAAAGAUUUAUCGCCGAAAGAUCGGCCCGCGUCUGAUUAGCUAGUUGGUGAGGUAACGGCUCACCAAGGCGACGAUCAGUAGCUGGUCUGAGAGGAUGAUCAGCCACACUGGGACUGAGACACGGCCCAGACUCCUACGGGAGGCAGCAGUGGGGAAUAUUGGACAAUGGGCGCAAGCCUGAUCCAGCCAUGCCGCGUGAGUGAUGAAGGCCUUAGGGUUGUAAAGCUCUUUUGUCCGGGAAGAUAAUGACUGUACCGGAAGAAUAAGCCCCGGCUAACUUCGUG